rnacentral:misc_RNA from 1 species
GGAAGUAAAAGGUCGUAACAAGGUCUCCGUAGGUGAACCUGCGGAGGGAUCAUUACAGAGUUCAUGCCCUACCGGGUAGAUCUCCCACCCUAUGUUAUUAUUACUUUGUUGCUUUGGCGGGCCGUUAGGCUCCGGCCCGACUACCGGCCCCGGCUGGUAAGCGCCCGCCAGAGGACCCAAAACCCUGAAUAUUAGUGUCGUCUGAGUACUAUAUAAUAGUUAAAACUUUCAACAACGGAUCUCUUGGUUCUG